GGCACUCUACAAACUCUGGGAAUUCCUCGUGCCGCACUUGCACGCGGGAGGAAUUCAGAACCCACAUGUCAGAAGGGGGAUAUUUGUUUAAGGGCGGGCAGAACGGACGCACAUGUAAAUGCUAAACAACGUGUGAACUCUGGGAGGCCGAGACCGAAUCGGUCAGAUCACCGCCACAAGGGCCGCACAUGGAAGGAGGGGAGGAAGCCUGUCCCUCUGACGAUAGCACUACUUAGCUGUCGAUCGAGUUUCUCGAGGAAUUGAGACAGUGGAUUUGGUGAUGAUCGCCGACCCCGUUGCUCCCGGUCAAAAUGGAAACCUGGUCGAACGAACCAACCAAUCAUCCAGAUUCCAGGGACCUGAUGUAGCUUCGAUGGCCUGUUGGCACUAUCUGUAUCAAAAAGAAACAAUCGAGGGAACCAUCUGUAUCAAUUUGUCAUGAACUUGCAAUAA